UAAUGUCUGGGAAACUGCCCGAUGGAGGGGGAUAACUAUUGGAAACGAUAGCUAAGACCGCAUAGGUACGGACACUGCAUGGUGACCGUAUUAAAAGUGCCUCAAAGCACUGGUAGAGGAUGGACUUAUGGCGCAUUAGCUGGUUGGCGGGGUAACGGCCCACCAAGGCGACGAUGCGUAGCCGACCUGAGAGGGUGACCGGCCACACUGGGACUGAGACACGGCCCAG
rnacentral:rRNA from 1 species